CAACCGUGAGGUGAUAGAUGCAACUCUGAGCCUGAGGAACAUGAGGGGUCUCAUUGCCCAGGAAAGCACCCUGUCUAAGCUACAGUCGCUUCCCACAGAUUCUGCCCCCCUGCCCAGGUGCAGCACAAAGGUACUUUGGCUCAAAAAGAGAGAGGGAGUCUGGGACUCAAUUAGUCAACACCUGACUGUUAAAGGUGUGUGCUGAGGCUCAAGGAGUGUACUAGGUCCUGUAGUAAAGGCUUCACUUGAAUUGUAGGAAGCAGUUUCAGGUUGUGGCUCUGGCUCUGGCUCAAACAUACACUUGAAUUAUGAACGUGGGAUUAACAAAAUCUGCAAGAUGUAGAUUUCCAGAGACAUUGUUAUUCUGCUAUCUACACCUUAGGCAUAGAAACCCUUGCCUUGUAUGUCAUGUCAUUUUUCAUUAGCCCCACCUUGAAGAAUCUUUCCUCUAGCAUACAGAUUUGUGUCUGUUAUUUGCAAGGGAAUUUCAUUCCCGGAGCUGAUGUAGAAGUCUUUGCAGGUCAUUCCCUGACUUGCUUGGUGUGAGGACACAUAAAGCAUUACUGCAGGAUGCUGAGAUAUUGGUGAUGAGCAUUAAUAGGAACAAAGAACACACAUGCAAAGCAAAGUAAAGCAAAGCAAAAAACUCCACUCCUUGCUGCAAAAGACAAAAUCCUGAGCAAGGCACCAAUGAAAUUAAAAGCUACAAAGUGCUGCUGUGCAUAGGAUAGUCUAGUCCGUGUGUGUUCUAAUCAUUUAGCACAGCCACCUUGUUUGUACUUCAGGAACUAGAUGAUGUAUGGAGCUUCUACUUGUCUGGUCUGUAUAUUCUUUUCAGCCGCUGCCUGUUGCAAGUGGGAAAUUCAUGAGUGUUUCUCCUUCUAGGAUACUUUACACGCAAAAUUGAGUUUUGCAGACGUGCUUGUUUUAUCAGCUGUCCCUGUAUUGAAGUAGUAACCAUACUUUGCCCUGGGUUUUUGUUCCUUCUUUCUUCCUGCAAUGGGUAUUAGUAGUACAGCAUGUAGAAAGAUCAACAGAAGCACUACAAAAUUAAUGCCAGUUGCUACAAGCAGUAAUGGAAAAAGAAUGAACAAAACAACUCUGAAACAGUACUCACCACAUCUACCAGCAUUCAGCGAUUUUCAUGAAAAUUGCUGUAGAAUGAUGUUGUGUUAAAUAGGCAGCAGUACAUUUGCUCUAAAUAAAGACGUAUUUCAUUUUCUGAGGAAUUAUAAACAGCAGCCUCAAAUGUUAAUAAAAAACGAAGUUUUUCAUUAAGUAUAAUAAUAAAAAUGCCUGCACUACUGUUUUUUUUAAUAAUUUGCUAAUUACAUGUGCAGUGCCAGCACCUGUUGUGCUGUGUAUUAUCAGUAAAAGCAUUCCAUAUCUUAAAAUUAAUCUUCAAUAUUUCAUUAAUUUAAUAUUUGGCUGAAAGCAUUGCAAAUAUUUCAAACACUCAAAGGGAAAAAAAGCACACAUUUUGCAGCUACUUGUAAAUAACAAUAAAAAAUUGUAGGUAAAGCAAAAAUACAGAUGUCCUUUUACAUAUUUGACUCAAAAAACAAUAAUCCCAGAAGUAUGAAGGAGAAAAAAAAAGGGAGGGGGGAGGAUGUUUAAAAAUACUGCAAAUCCUGUUUCUUCAUGACCAAUCCUAUCCCCUUGACUUCAGUGUUCAAAUGAAGAACAUCCUAGAGAGCUAUCCUCAAUAGCGGAUAUAUUUUUGGCAAUGUUUAGUUCCCUUCUGCCAAUACUGAGUUAGAAUAAGAAAUCUAUUAAGAGUUAUCCAUUACUGAAUACAAAAGUAGAGAGUUUCAGCUGACCAACACCUCCAAGGGAGGCAAAGAAAUCCAUGCAUUGCUCACCCUGUACAGAGAAAUAGAACGGCAUGCACAGGCACCUUAUUGAAUUUUAUGAAUUAGCCAAAUUGAUUUGGACAAUGCUUUCUUCCUAUAGAAAAGACACAUCAGCUAUUGGAAAAAGGAUGACUACCCCUCUGCCUCUACAGAACAACUAGAACUACUACAGAACAUCCCCCACUUCCCAAAAACAAACAAACAAACAAAAUCUCAGCUAAUUCUUUACAGCAUUUGAAAUGAAUGAUUUAUGAACAAAUUUAGCUUAAGGACUGGGGGGUGGUGUGCUGGUGGAUUUGAAGUGGGAAUUACUGGACAACUUUAGCACAGCAUUCUUGAAAAUAAAGGAUAGAUUAAGCAUCUGUGUCAGAGAGGCAUUAGAGCCAAAAUGGAACUAAUUCCAUGAAAUACUGCUCAUAAAUGUAAGUGCUGCUUUAGCUCUUGCUUGCUUUUUUUUUCCCCAAGGGGUUAUGUAACACAAUUUAUAACUUUACUCAGGAUGAUAAUUUCUGUCAUACUCAUAUACAUGACUUUGGCGGAGACAAACACAAUUCCUUACAGAAAAACUUUGCUGGCAACCAGUGUAAAUCCUCGCUUUGAAAUGCAUUAAAAUGCAUUAAAAGGAGAAAUAGAAAUCCAACUCACACAGGGAAUUUUCUGAUCUGAUGCCUGCCCACACAGACAUCAAAAGAGAGAGCAGGUUGCUGUGGAAAUGAGCACAUCCUCACAACAACAGACAGUUGGAGAAAUGGCCACUGUAGACCAGCUCAGAAAACAGCUGACAGCUAGUUGUCAGUGCACGCAAAAGCAACAGGCUGUGCUUCACGAAGUGGGGACAUGCACCAGCAACUGGUUUUCAUCAGUGAUGCACAUCAGCCAUGGCCAUCAGCCACCUCUGCAUUCAUGACAACAGAGAAAGAAAUCCUAAAGACGUAAGAUAUGCUCUUCCCACAGACCAUCCUUUUUAUUGGUGGUUCUGGUGGUUUUACAAGUGGAAAUGAAGCACUCCUCACUUUAUCAUUGAUCUCAAAAACCCAGUCAUAAAUGGCAAUGCAAACUCCAGCCCCUGUUGUUAACAGUGAGAACUGACCUUGACAAGACGUGGAUCACUGAAGUGUGUUUCCAGCAUCCACCUUAUUAUCACAGCAGUGGAAAAAGAGAAUAGCAGGAAGCAGAGCAGCCAUGCAUAAGGGAAACACAGCAAAACGAUUCCUUUUCCUAUAGAAAAAGGUGGAGGUCAAUUUACUGCCUACUUAAACUUUUUUUGCUUUCUGACUGUUAUUUACAGUGCUAGCCAGGACAGAAAUUUUCAGUGAUUUGAUAAAAAUUCCCUAAGCAAAAAUACAAUUACCCUUACCCCUCUCAGUAGAGUUCAGCAGAUAAAUGACCCAAAUGAAGCCAAAGAUACAAGUUCUUUCUGUACAAGUACUUUGAAACAUCCAAAAAAUAUUAAAAUGUACACACUAAAAAUGUCUCAGUCAUUUUUUUUUUUUAAUCCGUAUUCUUAAAUCUGAAUUGUAAUGGGAAGCCCACGGAUCCUCCCAAGGAGAGCUCAAACCUGUGUGAUAAAUACACAUUACACAAAUGGUCUGCUAGGAAGUAUAUUAACUUUACAAAGGCUCGGCCCAGUAAUAUUACAGAUGUCAUGCCUCCAGUACCAAAUUGAAACACGGGCAAAGGAAGUUCCUAUCUGCUCAUUUUUUACCAUGGUGCAACUGUAAAAAAAGUUGUUUAUGGGUAUAAAAUUUAACCGGAAAGCCUGAGCUUUCCAGUUCUCAAGUUCAUCUUCCCUUGUCUGCUUUUAUGUGUACAACACUGCAAACUGCAAAGUAUAACCCAAUUUCUGCAGUACUGGCAAGUCAGAAAGGGAGUGUGGGCAAUUAAAAGCACAGAAGAGGAGAAAGUAGUGUCUAAUUCAAUAUCAAACUCAAAAAUCUAAGUGUUUGACUGGCAGUAGCAAAUCUGAAUAUUCUCCAUCUCCAGAUUUGCAGGCAUAGCAGAAAGUAAUGAGAUCUCUGUGCAGGACAACCCGUGGAGGAAUACAGAAGCACUGCAUGUGAACAGAGCCAGGUUUUCAAGAAUCAUUGGCAAAUGUUAGUUG
ensembl:lncRNA